rnacentral:rRNA from 1 species
AUUGAACGCUAGCGGCAGGCUUAACACAUGCAAGUCGAGGGGUAUAGGUUUUCGGACCUAGAGACCGGCGCACGGGUGCGUAACGCGUAUGCAAUCUACCUUUUGCAGAGGGAUAGCCCAGAGAAAUUUGGAUUAAUACCUCAUAGUAUAUGGACUUCGCAUGGAGACCAUAUUAAAGUUCCAACGGCAAAAGAUGAGCAUGCGUCCCAUUAGCUAGAUGGUAAGGUAACGGCUUACCAUGGCUACGAUGGGUAGGGGUCCUGAGAGGGAGAUCCCCCACACUGGUACUGAGACACGGACCAGACUCCUACGGGAGGCAGCAGUGAGGAAUAUUGGACAAUGGGCGCAAGCCUGAUCCAGCCAUGCCGCGUGCAGGAUGAA